UACGUAGGUGGCAAGCGUUAUCCGGAUUUACUGGGCGUAAAGGGCGUGUAGGCGGGAGUGCAAGUCAGAUGUGAAAACUAUGGGCUCAACCCAUAGCCUGCAUUUGAAACUGUACUUCUUGAGUGCUGGAGAGGCAAUCGGAAUUCCGUGUGUAGCGGUGAAAUGCGUAGAUAUACGGAGGAACACCAGUGGCGAAGGCGGAUUGCUGGACAGUAACUGACGCUGAGGCGCGAAAGCGUGGGGAGCAAACAGG
rnacentral:rRNA from 1 species